GGGGGCGCAAAGGCUUUCGACAGGUUUGGGUUUUGGGUGAGAGGUUGCGUGUCGAGGUCUCAGAAACUCGUUAAUCCCUGAAAACAAUAAUUUAGUUGCAAACAAUAACGCACACUUUGCUGUAGCCGCUUAAUAGCCGCUUCAGCCGUCUUGACCUUUAUUACUUGGGGUAAUUGUUGAGGCGUAUGUUUACCAAGAUAGUCUGUGGACCUUUUAACAGAGGGGAAAGUGGACGAUAAACCUCUUUAUCUGUUCUCGCUUGAGUUGCCCGUCAUGAGGCGGCUUGAGAUGCAGUAGGUAUCAUGACUACACACGUAGAGGCCGAUUGCCGCCUAGAUGUGGACGCGGGUUCGAUUCCCGUCGCCUCCACCA
rnacentral:tmRNA from 1 species